rnacentral:lncRNA from 1 species
UUAGUUAUGGUUGUUUUACAAGAUUUAAAGUGCUAGGAAAAAAAAGUGCUGCAGUAAAAAAAAAUGUAUCUAAGAGGGGAACCUGACUUUCUGUGGAAAUCAGGUAGUAAUUUUCAGCUUGCAAUCUGAAGGGUGAUGCAUUAGUUUUCUAUUGCUGCCGUAACAAAUUACACAAACGCAGUGGCUUCAACAACACAAAUGUGUGGUCUUACAAUUCUGCAGGAAAAAUCCGACGCUGAUUCCACAGGAUAAAAUCAAAGCAUCAGCAGGGCUCUAUUCUUCCUUGGAAUCUCUAAGAGAGAAUCUGUUUUCUGGACCUUUCCAGUUUCCAGAGGCUGCUCUCAUCCUUGGCUCAUGGUCCCCUUCCUCCAUCGUCAGUGCCAGCAACACUGUAUCUCUCUAUGCCCUCCAUCAGAGUCACAUCAUCCUCUGACUGACUCUCCUCUUCUUCCGCCCUCUUCCACUCUUGAGGACAUUUCUGAUUACAUUGGGCCCACCUGGAUAAUCCAGGCUUAUUAAAAUCAGCUGAUUAGCAACUGGCCCUGGAAACGACUACUGCUCUGAGUCUAAAUGCAGAUCUCUGUGCUGAAGCAGCCUGAAACUCCCUACAUUACCUGCAAAGUUAUCCAUCAUGGCUUACCAAGCAGUGCUAUGUCCGCACCCAGGACCCGGGAUCCGAACCAGCAAACCCCUGGCUGCUGAAGCAGAACGUGUGCACUUAACUGCUGCACCACCUGGCUGGCCCCUCAAUGAAGUAGUUUUGAGGCCCAGAUACCUUUGCUCUUGUAACUUUACUUUCUACUCCCACUUUAUCAUCAUCUACAUCCAGCUGGAGGUGGGAAGAGUUUACAUACAGCAUGGAGGAAUCAGGCCUGCCUUUUA